UAGCUUAAUAAUUUAUAUAAAAUAUUUACCUUGAAAGUAAAAAAUAGAAAUAUUUCUUUAAGCU
rnacentral:tRNA from 1 species